rnacentral:rRNA from 1 species
AGGUUACGUCAAGACUCACGGCUAUUAACCGUAGGCUUUUCUUCUCUACUGAAAGUGCUUUANAACCCGCAGGCCUUCUUCACACACGCGGCAUUGCUGGAUCAGGCUUGCGCCCAUUGUCCAAUAUUCCCCA